rnacentral:misc_RNA from 1 species
GAUGAGCCUCGAAAUCCUUGUCCAGAAGUAUGUUCGAAGACUUGACAUCACGGUGGAUUAUGCGUGGGCUGCAGUCAUGGUGUAGAUAUGCCAGACCCUGUGCAGCUCCUAGAGCAAUUCUGAUUCGAGUAUCCCAGUCAAGCUUUUUCUUCUUUGAAGGGCCAUGUAGAAGAUCCCAGAGACUGCCGUUAUCCAUAUAGUCGUAGAAAAGUAGGUUGCCAGAAGGGGACAAUGAAAACCCUUGAAGGCAAACAAGAUUCCGAUGUUUGAUACUCCCAACCGUCUCAAGUUCAGUCUCAAAUUCCUUGAGGCUUUGCGGAUGAGAGUAGAGCCUUUUGAUGGCCACCGGCCUGCAGUUUUUCAGCACACAUUUGUAUACAGUGCUCGAUGCACCAUAUCCAAUUAUGUACUUCUCGUUCAAAUUCUCUGUCAUUCUCAUAAUGUCGUCAUAGACAUGAAGCGCCAUGUUCAUGUGGA